rnacentral:rRNA from 1 species
ACGACUCUCGGCAACGGAUAUCUCGGCUCUCGCAUCGAUGAAGAACGUAGCGAAAUGCGAUACUUGGUGUGAAUUGCAGAAUCCCGCGAACCAUCGAGUCUUUGAACGCAAGUUGCGCCCGAGGCCGCCCGGCCGAGGGCACGCCUGCCUGGGCGUCGCGCACCGUGCU